AUUGAACGCUUGCGGCAGGCCUAACACAUGCAAGUCGAACGAGUGGCGGACGGGUGAGUAAUGUCUGGGAAACUGCCUGAUGGAGGGGGAUAACUACUGGAAACGGUAGCUAAUACCGCAUACCAUCAGAUGUGCCCAGAUGGGAUUAGCUAGUUGGUGGGGUAACGGCUCACCAAGGCGACGAUCCCUAGCUGGUCUGCGAGGAUGACCAGCCACACUGGAACUGAGACACGGUCCAGAAGCCUACGGGAGGCAGCAGUGGGGAAUAUUGCACAAUGGGUGCAAGCCUGAUGCAGCCAUGCCGAUUGUAUGAGGAAGGCCUUCGGGUUGUAAGUUACUUUCAGCGGGGAGGCGUUACCUGCAGAAGAAGCACCGGCUAACUCCGUGCCAGCAGCCGCGGUAAUUC
rnacentral:rRNA from 1 species